GACGAACGCUGGCGGCGUGCUUAACACAUGCAAGUCGAACGGUGAAGCGCCUUCCUUUUUGGUGGGUGUGGAUGAGUGGCGAACGGGUGAGUAACACGUGCGUAACCUGCCCCCUUCUUCUGGAUAACCGCAUGAAAGUGUGGCUAAUACGGGAUAUUCUGGGUCUGUCGCAUGAUGGGUCUGGGAAAGAUAUUGUUUCGGUGGGGGAUGGGCUCGCGGCCUAUCAGCUUGUUGGUGGGGUGAUGGCCUACCAAGGCGGUGACGGGUAGCCGGCCUGAGAGGGUGGACGGUCACACGGGGACUGAGACACGGCCCAGACUCCUACGGGAGGCAGCAGGGGAGAAUAUUGCACAAGGGGCGAAAGCCUGAUGCAGCGACGCCGCGGGAGGGAUGGAGGCCUUCGGGUUGUGAACCUCUUGCGCCAGUGAAGCAGGCCUGCCUCGUUUGUGGGUGGGUUGACGGUAGCUGGAAAAGAAGCGCCGGCUAACUACGUG
rnacentral:rRNA from 1 species